GAUGAACGCUAGCUACAGGCUUAACACAUGCAAGUCGAACGAGAAUCUACUGAAAGAGUUUUCGGACAAUGGAAGUAGAGGAAAGUGGCGGACGGGUGAGUAACGCGUGAGGAACCUGCCUUGAAGAGGGGGACAACAGUUGGAAACGACUGCUAAUACCGCAUGAUGCAUAGGGGUCGCAUGAUUCUUAUGCCAAAGAUUUAUCGCUUCAAGAUGGCCUCGCGUCCGAUUAGCUAGUUGGCGGGGUAACGGCCCACCAAGGCGACGAUCAGUAGCCGGACUGAGAGGUUGAACGGCCACAUUGGGACUGAGAUACGGCCCAGACUCCUACGGAGGCAGCAGUGGGGAAUAUUGGGCAAUGGGCGCAAGCCUGACCCAGCAACGCCGCGUGAAGGAAGAAGGCUUUCGGAUUGUAAACUCCUGUUGUUGAGGAAGAUAAUGACGGUACUCAACAGGAAGUGACGGCUAACUACGUG
rnacentral:rRNA from 1 species